rnacentral:rRNA from 1 species
AAACCGUUCAGGGGUAAACCUGAGAAACCCGAAAGAUCGACUGGGGAGAUUCAGCGACAGCGGCGCUGGCUCGGUGUGGUGGACGAUGUCGUCGACUUCGGUCUCGAUAUUCGUUAUCGCUAUCGCCGCGUCCGGUGUCGUCGUUGUGCACUUCUCCUCUAGUAGAACGUCGCGACCCGUUGGGUGCCGGUCUACGGCCCGAGGUGUAGACUGUCGCGUCGCUUCGGCGCAUGCGACAGACCCUCGGUUGCCUGGCCGGCUGCCCGGCGAUAGAACGUACGGUAUCUGGCCGCAAUUUUCGAAAUGCGUCGGGCCCGCCGCAAGCGAGGCCAGUGUCCCGGAGGUACGGACCUAGUGCCGUCCCCGAGCCUGGUCAGCUGCUGGCAGGCGGAGUCCUCAGACGGGCAAAUCAUAAUGGUACCGGUCGGCGACGCUACUGCUUUGGGUACUCUCAGGACCCGUCUUGAAACACGGACCAAGGAGUCUAACAUGUGCGCGAGUCAUUGGGAUUGUAAAACCUAAAGGCGCAAUGAAAGUGAAGGUCGGCUUUCCGUCGACCGAGGGAGGAUGGGCCGCGUUACGACGCGGCUCCGCACUCCCGGGGCGUCUCGUUCUCGUUACGAGAAGAGGCGCACCCAGAGCGUACACGUUGGGACCCGAAAGAUGGUGAACUAUGCCUGGUCAGGACGAAGUCAGGGGAAACCCUGAUGGAGGUCCGUAGCGAUUCUGACGUGCAAAUCGAUCGUCGGAACUGGGUAUAGGGGCGAAAGACUAAUCGA